CCGAGGCGGGACCGCUGUCUGCCGCCGCAUCCCCGCCGCGACGGGCGGCUCGAAGUCGGCUUCGUUCUGCUCCGCGCCGCCGCCCGCUGCUCCGGCACCAUGUCCCUCUGCAGGGCCGCCUCGCAGGCGCUGGCCUCCCGCCUGAGCAGGGCUCCUGCCGCCGCCGGCCGCCUCAAGCAGCGUGCACCUCCUCGCCAGAUGUCAUCUGGGAGUGUUCCUGGCUCUUCUAGAGACAGCAUGAUGAUCUAUCUCCUUGCUGGUGUUGCUGCUUUUGGUGGUUUAUUUUAUGCCUACAGACUAGUCAGUUCAUCCCGCAGCAAGUUUGUUGAACAUUCAAAUAUUCUUCAUGAGAGAACCGAGGGGCAGAAAAGCAAUCCUUGGUCAAGGAAGGACACAAGGGAAAUAUCUUUCCAAACCUGAGGAAGUUAAAUACAAACAAAGGACAAUCGUUUACCAUUGAGUACAUUGCAGCCUACCUUGGGAUGACUUUGUGCCUUCUAUUGUAAAGCCCCAGUUGUGUGAGACUUUAAAAGAACUACCUAUGUUUGCAAGGCCAAACCAUAUUGAGCUUAUUACUGAAUCUGCUUUGUAGAAGGCAGUUCUGAGAUGGAGAAGCUGGCUGUUCUGAAUUAAUGCACUCUAUAUUUGACUGUCCAAUAAAGUGUACUGAAUGCUGAUCUUGGCUGUUAGC
rnacentral:lncRNA from 1 species